rnacentral:rRNA from 1 species
GAGUGGCAAACGGGUGAGUAACACGUGGGUGACCUGCCUUCGAGUGGGGGAUAACGUUUCGAAAGGAACGCUAAUACCGCAUAACAUCCUGCUCUUGAACGAGUGGAGAUCAAAGCCGGGGACCGCAAGGCCUGGCGCUUGGAGAGGGGCCCGCGCCGGAUUAGCUAGUUGGUGAGGUAAUGGCCCACCAAGGCGACGAUCCGUAGCCGGCCUGAGAGGGCGGACGGCCACACUGGGACUGAGACACGGCCCAGACUCCUACGGGAGGCAGCAGUGGGGAAUUGUUCACAAUGGGCGCAAGCCUGAUGACGCAACGCCGCGUGGAGGACGAAGAUCUUCGGAUCGUAAACUCCUGUCGAGUGGGACGAAUGGCCCGGAACCCAAUACGUUCCGGGAGUGACGGUACCACUAAAGGAAGCCCCGGCUAACUCCGUGCCAGCAGCCGCGGUAAUACGGGGGGGGCCAGCGUUGUUCGGAAUUACUGGGCGUAAAGGGCGCGUAGGCGGCCUUCUAAGUCAGACGUGAAAUCCCUCGGCUCAACCGGGGAACUGCGUCUGAUACUGGAAGGCUUGAAUUCGGGAGAGGGAUGCGGAAUUCCAGGUGUAGCGGUGAAAUGCGUAGAUAUCUGGAGGAACACCGGUGGCGAAGGCGGCAUCCUGGACCGAUAUUGACGCUGAGGCGCGAAAGCCAGGGGAGCAAACGGGAUUAGAUACCCCGGUAGUCCUGGCCCUAAACGAUGGAUGCUUGGUGUGGCGGGUAUCGAUCC